UUGGCAUUCCAGUGUUCCUUGGACACAGGCAACAGGAUGAGUUUCACUGGAUCAAAAUGUAUGAAGGUGAUGCUAAUGUCUUUUCAGCAGCAGUGUCCCUAAAUCUGCAUGGUGUUAUUGUCCCUUCUCUAUGUUGGACUGAACUGUUUCAACUCUUCACAAGUGAAAACCUCAAAGCCCUAAUGUGGUGGAGAAAGACGCCAUCUACAGUAUGUCAGGAGCAGAGGGGUGUCCACUAGAGAAGGAGUCUUCUCAGUCAAGAUAAGAUUUCCUGCUUGUCAUACUAGAGGGAGAUACUGGUUGUCUUUCAACUCCACACCAUGGGAUGAUUGACCUGGAUCUUAACCAGAACAGACUUCACCAGACACAGUAGAAGUGAGGUCACAGGAGACAGACUGAUUUGUGAAGAGGGACUGCAUCACCCAUAAAGCAUUGUGUCCCUGGAGGCCACAGCUUUGUUGGAUGUAAAUGCCUUGUUCUCAACCUCUCGGAGUGUUCGGAAAUACGACUUGUAAACUCUGUGCGACGAGUUGCAUGCAUUCACGUACUUUGAACUUGUUGCGAAUGCCAACGACUAAGUACCGAGGUCAACCAUAAACGAACAGUACAGCUAUCAUGCUGGCAUUAAAAAGCAGUUGAAAAUAGCUUUUCUAGAUCAGUCUGACUGUUCUUCCUGACUGUUAUAAUCAACCAGCUUGAAUGCAAAAAUUUGAUGGGACUACUUGUUUCCUGUUGCAACACUUGAACCACGUUAAUAUUUUUGGUUAUAAUCGGCACAACUUUUGAA